GAUGAACGCUAGCUACAGGCUUAACACAUGCAAGUCGAGGGGCAGCAUGGUCUUAGCUUGCUAAGGCCGAUGGCGACCGGCGCACGGGUGAGUAACACGUAUCCAACCUGCCGUCUACUCUUGGACAGCCUUCUGAAAGGAAGAUUAAUACAAGAUGGCAUCAUGAGUCCGCAUGUUCACAUGAUUAAAGGUAUUCCGGUAGACGAUGGGGAUGCGUUCCAUUAGAUAGUAGGCGGGGUAACGGCCCACCUAGUCUUCGAUGGAUAGGGGUUCUGAGGGCAAGGUCCCCAACAUGAGAACUGAGACACGGUCCAAACUCCUACAGGAGGCAGCAGUGAGGAAUAUUGGUCAAUGGGCGAGAGCCUGAACCAGCCAAGUAGCGUGAAGGAUGACUGCUCUAUGGGUUGUAAACUUCUUUUAUAAAGGAAUAAAGUCGGGUAUGCAUACCCGUUUGCAUGUACUUUAUGAAUAAGGAUCGGCUAACUCCGUGCCAGCCGCCGCAGUAA
rnacentral:rRNA from 1 species